rnacentral:rRNA from 1 species
UACGUAGGGGGCAAGCGUUGUCCGGAUUCAUUGGGCGUAAAGAGCUCGUAGGCGGUUCGGCAAGUCGGGUGUGAAAACUCCAGGCUCAACCUGGAGACGCCACCCGAUACUGCUGUGACUUGAGUCCGGUAGGGGACCACGGAAUUCCUGGUGUAGCGGUGAAAUGCGCAGAUAUCAGCAGGAACACCCGUGGCGAAGGCGGCCACCUGGGCCUAACCUGACGCUGAGGCGCGAAGGCUAGGGGAGCGAACGGG